UACAGAGGUCUCAAGCGUUGUUCGGAUUCAUUGGGCGUAAAGGGUGCGUAGGCGGCGCGGUAAGUCGGGUGUGAAAUCUCGGGGCUUAACUCCGAAACUGCAUUCGAUACUGCCGUGCUUGAGGACUGGAGAGGAGACUGGAAUUUACGGUGUAGCGGUGAAAUGCGUAGAUAUCGGGAGGAACACCAGUGGCGAAAGCGCCUUGCUGGCCCAUUACUGACGCUCAUGAACGAAAGCCAGGGUAGCGAAAGGG
rnacentral:rRNA from 1 species